GAGACCCGGGAAGCCUAGGGAACGCUGUGACUGAACCGGACCUGGGUCCCCUCAGUCAGCCCGAGGCUUAGCACUGGAAGUCCUGCAUCCCGGGAAACCCCUCAAUCCUGGGCAAACCAGGAUGUCUAGUCACACUGCAUGCUAGUCAUCUGCGUCUAGAUAGAACAUAAGCUCCAUGACAGCAAGCAACUCCUUUGUUGUAUACUUUAAUGCUAGAACAGUCCCAGCAGAUCAACUGAUAAGAAAGCAGACACAGCCAAGAAGAUGCAACCAGGAUCAGAACCCAGUCUUUCCAGUCUCAAUCCACCAGCCUCCAACGCCCGUUCUCUUCCAGAUGAAACAAGUUCUUCUAUGGAAGUUAGAUGAAAAAUUUUCCUUUGGCUAGCAAUAAGUGAAAUAAAUGCACACAAUUUCUUGUCACACUACUGGCAAAGCUGCUAUGUCAGAUUUGACAUGUAAAGUAUUACAAUGACAAAGGCUUUCCUCUGAUCUUAAAAUAGCCCCUGCCUAGCAGUUAACCCGGGCUUUAGCAGGGAGGCACCUAACCUUCAGAUUUUCCUGGGUAAAGUUGCCAAGGUCAUAAGCUUCACAACAUUGGUAACUAAUAGGGGCGGGGGGAUAAAAGUCAAGGUCCCAUCAACAUCACUGACCACUUAUAAUGUCUUUGAAAGUUUAUCUAAAUAAAGAGAAGGAUUAUCACCCUUUGUCCUCAUCUCAGGAUAGGCAUGUACCAUUCCACCAUUGCCAUGCAUGGCAGACCACACUAAUGUGUCAUAGUACUCUUUCCAGAAAAUUCCCAACAAGGCCUCAUGAUCCUAUUAGAGCUUCAGGCACCAUUUCCAGUUUAUAGGAGUUGGCAUGAGAGAAUGAAGUCAUCAAACCCUCAACACUUGCCUUAUGGGACACAACAGCUUCCAAUUUUCCCCUCAACUGUGCCCAAAAAAAAGGAAUGAUCAGUUACCUCCUUUAUCAUCAUUGCCAAUGUUUGCUGUACCUUAGUUUAUUGAGCAAAUCUCUUCUUGUUUCAGCAAGAAAGUCAAUUCAUUCGCGGUUUAUGAUUUCUCUAUGCAUUCAUUUUAUAAUAAAGUCUAUCUCAAAGCCUUCCUGAGCACAAACAAAUAUGCUUCCAAAAGGAAGUUUUCACAAUAUUUCAGAAUGCAGAAACUAUGACUACAGUCAUGCAUCAUUUACCAAUGGGGAUAUGUUCUAAGAAAUGCAUCAUUAGGCUAUUCUGUCACUGUGUGAACACCAAAGAGUGUACUUACACAAACCUGGAUGGGAUAGCCUACUACACACCGAGGCUACAGGGUACAGCCUAUUGCUUCCAGGCUACAAACAUGUACAGCACACUGCUGUACUGAAUACUGCAGGCAAUUAUAACACAAUGGUAAGUAUCUGUGCAUCUAAACAUAGA